UUUGAAAAUAUAUACUUGAGCAUGUGUAUUUUGCUAUCUUAUUGGGGUAACAUAGAGCCAAAUGGGGCAAGGUUGGCGUAUCAUCAUCUGAUGAAAGUACAGCACUGCCGCUGUUUCCACACUAAGAAUACUCAUAACCUAUCCCAACCUGAGUGGACAUAUAAAUUCAGAGGGAAAAAUCACAAACUAUACUAUACCGAUACAGCUAGAUAUCAAGAUUCUAAGGACACAAUGUCUAAACUAAAUUACCCAACAAACAGUUUGAAUCAUGAAUAGAAUAUAGUUAACAUAACCCCCCAUGCAAACGGUCAUCACGUAUCAGCUAGUAAGAAAGGAGGGAACAAAUCUUGAUUAACAGAACAAUGGAGCACCAUCUUUAGAGAUUGUACAAACUGUAAAACAAAACAAAAAACGGUCAGAGUAAAAAAACAUGACUGGAUAUAUAUACAGCUGGAUAUCAAGAUUCUCUGGAGAAAUGCUUAAACUAAAAUACUAAUAAAAAAUGAAUCAUGGGCCAUUCAAAAACAACUUCAUAUAGAUAUAUACCCAACAAAGAGUUUGAAUCAUGAAUAUGCAAUGCACAUCGCUGACAUGACCCACCAUGCAAACGAUCAUCAUAAAUACCUUUGGAACCCACAACUCAACAUAAACAUGACAAAGACAAACAUGUAUACCAAAUAGCAUCUGAAAACAUAUCAGGGAAGAUAAUUUUCUGGCAGAACCAAGCAUGCGUAUGCAACUAUCUAAAUAUAUGUGCUAAACAGCCACUGGAAACAUUGCUAUAGAACAGACCGGAUAAAGCAAUUUCCACACAGAACAAUGCAUGCAUGUUUGCACAACCAAUCAAACACAUGUAUAGAAUAUAUACUGACAAACAAUUAGUCUAGAAAGACUAACUAUGCCGGAGCAAGUUGAUCAUGAAACUCCAUACCAAGACAUCUCCAGAUUUUUCCGGAAAUGAGAGUUCAGUAAGCUACUACCUUCAGCCUCCUAACUGAUUUGAGAGCAACAUUUAUUAGUUUUUAGAAACAUGAAAAAAACAUUAGGCACAUUUGAAUAAACAUUUAAGAGAAGGGAACUGCAAAACGAAAUUCAGUAAACAGAAACGCCACUAUAGCUCAUGACUAAAUUGACUCUCUUUCAGUAAAAAGUAGGAAAGUGUAACCACCUUAGUAAAAAUAGAAUGAGCAUGCUACCAUGCCCUUGCGCAGGUUCAAGCUACAUUCGAAGAAGGGACGUCUAUUGAACAAAAACUGGGUCGAUAGUAUUUUGCAAUAGCUAACUAUGCAACUUUUCUCCACGAACAUGAGAUAAUUUAAAUGGCAGGAUCAUGUUUGUUUUCCCCUUAUUUUCAGUUGGAUUGUAAUAACUCAGCAGCAAAGAGUACACCACAGUGGUUUAGUCUACUAAUCUGAUUCAAUUCAAGAAUGGGUAGCCUAUUCUCUUGUAUAUGUCAGCAAGCUCUUUUUUGUACUCAAGUCAAAACUAAGCAUAAAUACCUACUCACCUACAUAAGUUGUUGUUGCACAUGCCCAUGUAUUUGGUGCAAGUUGAGGCCUCCUUUAAGUAACAUUAUGACCACUCUUCAAGUCUUCAUACCUACAAACACCAUCAAAGUAUGAAGUCUAACCGAGGUGGAACCGUGUAAGGACUAAAGAAAGGGAAAGUGUUUGAUUCAUAAGCAAAGAGAGCAAGAGACCGAACUUUCAGAACAUUUAGGUUUAUUAGUAAGGAAACAGUGGUAACAUUUUCUUAGUAAUUAAGCUCGAUGGAAAUAAAGGUACUUUUCAUGUAUGACGCCCAAAAAAAGUUUAAACAUCUUUUCCUUUUGCUGUACCAUGAUCAUACCACAAUGUGAGAUGCAGACAGGGAAAAGUUCAGAUCCAAAAUCAUAUCUCAUAGAUAUGUUUGUACAUUAAGGAAAAGAAAAACAUUACUGGCAUUCUGCAAAAACACAUUAAGAAAUGGAGCUUUUGGACCAGUGAAUUACACUGGUAUUCUCAAAAUACCACAUCUACAAUCU
rnacentral:lncRNA from 1 species